rnacentral:rRNA from 1 species
GUAGGUGGCAAGCGUUGUCCGGAAUUAUUGGGCGUAAAGCGCGCGCAGGCGGUCCUUUAAGUCUGAUGUGAAAGCCCACGGCUCAACCGUGGAGGGUCAUUGGAAACUGGGGGACUUGAGUACAGAAGAGGAAAGCGGAAUUCCAAGUGUAGCGGUGAAAUGCGUAGAGAUUUGGAGGAACACCAGUGGCGAAGGCGGCUUUCUGGUCUGUAACUGACGCUGAGGCGCGAAAGCGUGGGGAGCAAACAGGAUUAGAUACCCUGGUAGUCCACGCCGUAAACGAUGAGUGCUAAGUGUUAGGGGGUUUCCCGCCCCCCUUAGUGCUGCAGCUAACGCAUUAAGCACUCCGCCUGGGGAGUACGGCCGCAAGGCGG